UGGGGAAUAUUGGACAAUGGGCGAAAGCCUGAUCCAGCAAUGCCGCGUGCAGGAUGAAGGCCUUCGGGUUGUAAAUUGCUUUUGUACGGAACGAAACGGUCUUUUCUAAUACAGAAGGCUAAUGACGGUACCGUAAGAAUAAGCACCGGCUAACUACGUGCCAGCAGCCGCGGUAAUACGUAGGGUGCGAGCGUUAAUCGGAAUUACUGGGCGUAAAGCGUGCGCAGGCGGUUAUAUAAGACAGAUGUGAAAUCCCCGGGCUCAACCUGGGAACUGCAUUUGUGACUGCAUAGCUGGAGUGCGGCAGAGGGGGAUGGAAUUCCGCGUGUAGCAGUGAAAUGCGUAGAUAUGCGGAGGAACACCGAUGGCGAAGGCAAUCCCCUGGGCCUGCACUGACGCUCAUGCACGAAAGCGUGGGGAGCAAACA
rnacentral:rRNA from 1 species